UACGUAGGGGGCGAGCGUUAUCCGGAUUUAUUGGGCGUAAAGCGUGUGUAGGCGGUUUGUUAAGUAUAAGAUUAAAGCCUGGGGCUCAACCCCAGUUCGUCUUAUAAACUGGCAAACUUGAGUGCAGUAGAGGCAAGUGGAAUUUCUAGUGUAGCGGUUAAAUGCGUAGAUAUUAGAAGGAACACCAGUGGCGAAGGCGACUUGCUGGGCUGUUACUGACGCUGAGACACGAAAGCGUGGGGAGCAAAUAG
rnacentral:rRNA from 1 species